GGAGGGUUGGCAGAGUGGCCGAAUGCGGCGGACUUGAAAUCCGUUAGGGGGCAACCCCUCGGGGGUUCGAAUCCCUCACCCUCCGCCA
rnacentral:tRNA from 1 species